AGCAAUACUUAGUGGCAGACGGGUGAGUAACAUGUGGGUAUCUGCCCUUUGGCCUGGAAUAACACGAGGAAACUUGUGCUAAUACCGGAUAAGUCUUUACGGAGAAAGCUUUAUGCACCAUUGGAUGAGCCCGCACUUGAUUAGUUUGUUGGUAGGGUAAUGGCCUACCAAGACUGUGAUCAAUAGCUGAUUUGAGAGGAUGAUCAGCCACAUUGGGACUGAGACACGGCCCAAACUCCUACGGGAGGCAGCAGUGGGGAAUCUUGCACAAUGGAGGAAACUCUGAUGCAGCGAUGCCGCGUGAGUGAAGAAGGCCUUUGGGUUGUAAAGCUCUUUCGUCGGGGAAGAAAAUGACUGUACCCGAAUAAGAAGGUCCGGCUAACUUCGUGCCAGCAGCCGCGGUAAUACGAAGGGACCUAGCGUAGUUCGGAAUUACUGGGCUUAAAGAGUUCGUAGGUGGUUGAAAAAGUUGGUGGUGAAAUCCCAGAGCUUAACUCUGGAACUGCCAUCAAAACUUUUCAGCUAGAGUUUGAUAGAGGAAAGCAGAAUUUCUAGUGUAGAGGUGAAAUUCGUAGAUAUUAGAAAGAAUACCAAUUGCGAAGGCAGCUUUCUGGAUCAUUACUGACACUGAGGAACGAAAGCAUGGGUAGCGAAGAGGAUUAGAUACCCUCGUAGUCCAUGCCGUAAACGAUGUGUGUUAGACGUUGGAAAUUUAUUUUCAGUGUCGCAGCGAAAGCGAUAAACACACCGCCUGGGGAGUACGACCGCAAGGUUAAAACUCAAAUGAAUUGACGGGGACCCGCACAAGUAGUGGAGCAUGUGGUUUAAUUCGAAGAUACGCGCAGAACCUUACCAACACUUGACAUGUUCGUCGCGACUUUAAGAGAUUAAAGUUUUCGGUUCGGCCGGACGAAACACAGGUGCUGCAUGGCUGUCGUCAGCUCGUGUCGUGAGAUGUUGGGGUUAAGUCCCGCAACGAGCGCAACCCCCACUUU
rnacentral:rRNA from 1 species